GACGAACGCUGGCGGCGUGCUUAACACAUGCAAGUCGAGCGGUAAGGCCCUUUCGGGGGUACACGAGCGGCGAACGGGUGAGUAACGCGUGGGUGACCUGCCUUUAGCUCUGGGAUAAGCCUGGGAAACUGGGUCUAAUACCGGAUACGACUCCGCGGUGCAUGCUGUGGGGUGGAAAGCCUUGUGCGGCUGGAGAUGGGCCCGCGGCCUAUCAGCUUGUUGGUGGGGUGAUGGCCUACCAAGGCGACGACGGGUAGCCGGCCUGAGAGGGCGACCGGCCACACUGGGACUGAGACACGGCCCAGACUCCUACGGGAGGCAGCAGUGGGGAAUCUUGCGCAAUGGGCGAAAGCCUGACGCAGCGACGCCGCGUGAGGGAUGACGGCCUCGGUUGUAA
rnacentral:rRNA from 1 species